rnacentral:rRNA from 1 species
AGAUUGAGUUUGAUCCUGGCUCAGAUUGAACGCUGGCGGAAUGCUUUACACAUGCAAGCCGAACGGCAGCACGGGAGCUUGCUCCUGGUGGCGAGUGGCGAACGGGUGAGUAAUGCGUCGGAACGUACCGAGUAAUGGGGGAUAACGCACCGAAAGGUGUGCUAAUACCGCAUACGCCCUGAGGGGGAAAGUGGGGGAUCGUAAGACCUCACGUUAUUCGAGCGGCCGACGUCUGAUUAGCUAGUUGGUGGGGUAAAGGCCUACCAAGGCGACGAUCAGUAGCGGGUCUGAGAGGAUGAUCCGCCGCACUGGGACUGAGACACGGCCCAGACUCCUACGGGAGGCAGCAGUGGGGAAUUUUGGACAAUGGGGGCAACCCUGAUCCAGCCAUUCCGCGUGAGUGAAGAAGGCCUUCGGGUUGUAAAGCUCUUUCAGCAGGAACGAAACGGUGCGCUCUAACAUAGCGUGCUAAUGACGGUACCUGCAGAAGAAGCACCGGCUAACUACGUGCCAGCAGCCGCGGUAAUACGUAGGGUGCGAGCGUUAAUCGGAAUUACUGGGCGUAAAGCGUGCGCAGGCGGAUUGUUAAGCAAGAUGUGAAAUCCCCGGGCUUAACCUGGGAAUGGCAUUUUGAACUGGCAGUCUAGAGUGUGUCAGAGGGGGGUGGAAUUCCACGUGUAGCAGUGAAAUGCGUAGAGAUGUGGAGGAACACCGAUGGCGAAGGCAGCCCCCUGGGAUAACACUGACGCUCAUGUACGAA